rnacentral:rRNA from 1 species
CGAUCAGAUACCGCCCUAGUUCUAACCAUAAACGAUGCCAGCCAGCGAUCCGGCUGUGUUCCUCAAAUGACACGCCGGGCAGCUUCCGGGAAACCAAAGCUUUUGGGUUCCGGGGGAAGUAUGGUUGCAAAGCUGAAACUUAAAGGAAUUGACGGAAGGGCACCACCAGGAAUGGAGCCUGCGGCUUAAUUUGACUCAACACGGGAAAACUUACCCGGCCCGGACACAGGAAGGAUUGACAGAUUAAGAGCUCUUUCUUGAUUCUGUGGGUGGUGGUGCAUGGCCGUUCUUAGUUGGUGGAGCGAUUUGUCUGGUUAAUUCCGAUAACGAACGAGACUCUAGCCUACUAAAUAGACGUUCCGAUCAUCUCCGUCGGACGUUCUUCUUAGAGGGACAAGCGGCGUUUAGCCGCACGAGACAGAGCAAUAACAGGUCUGUGAUGCCCUUAGAUGUCCGGGGCCGCACGCGCGCUACAUUGAAGGAAUCAGCGUGUGCUUUCCCGGUCCGACAGGACUGGGUAACCCGUUGAACCUCCUUCGUGCUGGGGAUAGGAGCUUGUAAUUGUCCUCCUUGAACGAGGAAUUCCCAGUAAGCACGAGUCAUAAGCUCGUGUUGAUUACGUCCCUGCCCUUUGUACACACCGCCCGUCGCUACUACCGAUUGAAUGAUUUAGUGAGGUCCUCGGACUGGCGCUCGGAGCGGCCCUCGGGUCGCGCCGGCGUGCCGGAAAGAUGACCAAACUGAUCA